UAGCAACACUCUGUGGGCACGUGUUCUGCAGUUCUUGUCUGGAGGCCUGGACAAACGCCCAACACCAUGAUUGUCCUGUAUGCAGAGCUAAGUUCGCCACUCCUCCCAUGAUAUCCUGGCCCCUUGGGGACCGCCUGGCCGAGGAAACGAGGAUGACUCUAAAACGCUGCAGACCUGAUGACUCCGGUAAGAUACCGAUUUUGAGUCCGAGAAAGAAAAUGAAAACAAGAAGCUCAACAGCAAAAAAAGAGCAAGAAGGUGUCAAAAUUAUGUGAUCUUUGCUCGUAGAAAUGUAAUAUUAUUGUUGAUGCUUAUGUCCUAUGGCAUAACUGCCUCUCUGGUACAUUUAAUGCCACUUUGGCAGACAUAAAAAUACACUGUCUUUAAUUAAUAA